AGUCGAGCGGUAGCACAGAGAGCUUGCUCUCGGGUGACGAGCGGCGGACGGGUGAGUAAUGUCUGGGAAACUGCCUGAUGGAGGGGGAUAACUACUGGAAACGGUAGCUAAUACCGCAUAACGUCGCAAGACCAAAGUGGGGGACCUUCGGGCCUCAUGCCAUCAGAUGUGCCCAGAUGGGAUUAGCUAGUAGGUGGGGUAAUGGCUCACCUAGGCGACGAUCCCUAGCUGGUCUGAGAGGAUGACCAGCCACACUGGAACUGAGACACGGUCCAGACUCCUACGGGAGGCAGCAGUGGGGAAUAUUGCACAAUGGGCGCAAGCCUGAUGCAGCCAUGCCGCGUGUGUGAAGAAGGCCUUCGGGUUGUAAAGCACUUUCAGCGGGGAGGAAGGCGAUAAGGUUAAUAACCUUGUCGAUUGACGUUACCCGCAGAAGAAGCACCGGCUAACUCCGUGCCAGCAGCCGCGGUAAUACGGAGGGUGCAAGCGUUAAUCGGAAUUACUGGGCGUAAAGCGCACGCAGGCGGUCUGUCAAGUCGGAUGUGAAAUCCCCGGGCUCAACCUGGGAACUGCAUUCGAAACUGGCAGGCUAGAGUCUUGUAGAGGGGGGUAGAAUUCCAGGUGUAGCGGUGAAAUGCGUAGAGAUCUGGAGGAAUACCGGUGGCGAAGGCGGCCCCCUGGACAAAGACUGACGCUCAGUGCGAAGCGUGGGGAGCAAACAGGAUUAGAUACCCUGGUAGUCCACGCCGUAACGAUGUCGAUUUGGAGGUUGUGCCCUUGAGGCGUGGCUUCCGGAGCUAACGCGUUAAAUCGACCGCCUGGGGAGUACGGCCGCAAGGUUAAAACUCAAAUGAAUUGACGGGGGCCCGCACAAGCGGUGGAGCAUGUGGUUUAAUUCGAUGCAACGCGAAGAACCUUACCUGGUCUUGACAUCCACAGAACUUUCCAGAGAUGGAUUGGUGCCUUCGGGAACUGUGAGACAGGUGCUGCAUGGCUGUCGUCAGCUCGUGUUGUGAAAUGUUGGGUUAAGUCCCGCAACGAGCGCAACCCUUAUCCUUUGUUGCCAGCGGUUAGGCCGGGAACUCAAAGGAGACUGCCAGUGAUAAACUGGAGGAAGGUGGGGAUGACGUCAAGUCAUCAUGGCCCUUACGACCAGGGCUACACACGUGCUACAAUGGCAUAUACAAAGAGAAGCGACCUCGCGAGAGCAAGCGGACCUCAUAAAGUAUGUCGUAGUCCGGAUUGGAGUCUGCAACUCGACUCCAUGAAGUCGGAAUCGCUAGUAAUCGUAGAUCAGAAUGCUACGGUGAAUACGUUCCCGGGCCUUGUACACACCGCCCGUCACACCAUGGGAGUGGGUUGCAAAAGAAGUAGGUAGCUUAACCUUCG
rnacentral:rRNA from 1 species